UAACUAUUUACAUUUUCAGCUUUUCCUUUUAAACAAAUUUAAAAUGAAACAACACAAAACACUGCAAACCUCAGCCUACGGCCCGCAUGCCAAAGAGAACUGAUUGUCAUAUUUUUCUGUUUUUACAGUUUUCUGUAAAAAUAAAUAUGUUGCACCAGAGAUGAGUUGGCCCAUCAUUUCAGUGGUGUAACAUUUCUUUCAUCAGAAAGACACUGGAUUGAAAUGCUAGCUUUCUACAGUCGCUGCUUAUCAACGGGCACUGUAUUUGUAACUUCUAAAAACUUCUAAAACGGCAAACAGGACUUUGGUUAAGAAGAGGACAACCAACAUUCUACCAGUUCUAUCGACCGGAGUGUUUCGGGCUGCGCUCCCUAACCGGGAGAUAACUAGCAAGUUUACGGUAGCAUUAGCUACCAGCAGCUGCUAGCUUGCCAGUUAAAUAAAAGAAGAAAGGACCCCUGGACUGGAAAGGCUGGUUAAGACAAAUAUUUUAUUGGAGUUCCACGAAUAACACAAACUAAAAACAGUAUGCCACCCAAGAAAGGUCCAACACCAGAGGAGGUCGAGGACAUAAAAACCUCCCUCGGAGCGCUGUGCGGAGACGUGGCCGCAGUCAGGGCGCAGCAGGAGCUGCUUCUGGGGCUUCUGGAGGAGGUAAAACAGCUACGCCUCCAAAAUGCCGAGAAGGACAGACGAAUCAUGGAUCUCGAGCGGCGGGUGGAUGAGCUGGAGCAGUACACCCGUACGAACGACGUGGUCAUCAGCGGUGUUAAAAUCAAGUGGCCGGGAACGUCGGGGAGCCCAGCGACGAGGAGACCCGCUCGGUGGAGCAACAGGUGGCGUCCUUCCUUCAAAGCAAGGGGAUAGAGAUGGACCUGGAGCACGAAGAAGCAUGUCACCCACUGCCCAGGAGGAGCGACAGACCGCCGGCCGUCAUUAUGAGAUUCGUCAAUCGGAAGAACAAGGUCGCACUGCUGAAACAAGGACGCAAACUGAAAGGCACGAACGUUUUCAUUAAUGAGCAUCUGACACGAAAAAACGCAGACAUCGCGAGGAAGGCAAGGCAACUGAAGAAGAACGGUAAAAUACAACAUACAUGGGUAACAAACUGCAAGAUUUUCAUUAAGCUAAACGGGACACCAGAAGAGGCAAAAGUACUGAUAGUGAGGAACAUGGAGGAUCUGGACAAGUACAACUGACACUAAUGUAUCGAGGUAAUGUAUAACUCUAAUGACAAUCAAAGAUGAUAAAUACACCAACAUCUCUAAUUACACCAGGAAAUGACAUGGACACGUUGAAAUCAAUUCUCCAACAGAAAGUUAUUGAUCUAGAUUGUGACUAUAAGGAACAUAAUAUAAUAGACCCAGAAAUAGAUUCUGAAAGUAAUUUUCUCUCUUCUUUUGUUAAAAAUUGUAAUUAUUUCACACAGGAACAAUAUGAAAAAAAAAUCAACCUAGACGGGAAGCUCUCAUUAAUUCACUUUAACAGCAGAAGUAUGUACUCUAAUUUUGAUUUCAUUAAGGAUUACUUGCAACAAUUUUCUCGCCCCUUUAGUGUUAUAGCCAUCACUGAAACUUGGUUCAAUGUCGAUAAAGGAAUAGAUUUCUGUUUGAAUGGAUAUGAUUUAAAAUACAUGAAUAGAUUAAAUAAGGCGGGUGGCGGGGUUGCUAUAUAUGUUCAUAACUCUAUAAAAUAUAAUGUUGUAACAACUAUGUCUAUGGCUAUUGAUGGAAUUUUGGAAUGUUUGACCAUUGAGAUCAUGAAUGAAAAAAAGAGAAAUGUUAUAAUAAGUUGCAUAUAUCGGACACCCAGUUCAAGUAUCGACACUUUUAAUGAAUGGAUAGAAAAAAUGUUUGCUUCGGUGAACCAAAAAUUACUAUUCAUCUGUGGUGAUUUUAAUAUUGAUUUGCUAAACCCAACAAGGUUAAAUGCCAUUGAUGACUUUACUGACACGAUGUACAGCUUAUCACUAUAUCCAACAAUAACAAAGCCAAGCAGAAUAACAUCACAUAGCGCCACUAUUAUUGACAAUAUUUUUACUAAUGUCAUGGAUUUCCAAAUUAAUAGUGGCCUGCUUGUCUGUGAUAUAACUGACCACUUACCAGUUUUUACUUUGUGUGACUGUGAUUUAAAAAAAAUAGAUACCAAGAUUACGAUAGCAAAGCGAACAAUAAAUGAAGAAGCAAUUCAUGCCUUCAAUUUCGAUUUAGGACAACAAGAUUGGAGUUCGGUGUAUGAAGAGUCAGAUGUGGACAAGGCUUAUGACAAUUUCCUAGAUAUUUUCACUAUGUUGUACAAUAAACAUUGUCCUGUAAACGAACACAGGACAAAGAAAAAAUAGAUAAAAAGUCCUUGGCUCACAAAAGGAAUCAUCAAUGCUUGCAAAAAGAAAAACAAUCUGUAUAAACAGUUCAUCAAAGUCUGCGUUCAGCAACGUUAGCCCCUCUGGCUUUACCCCACCUAGGAAGCGUUUUGCCUCCACAGACUUGAGGAAGAGUCCACAGGAAGGCUUUUUCCAGGACGGCAGUGUAACGAGCCAGCUGCCAGCACAGACGGCUGCUGACGAUGAAGAAUGGGUGUGAGAGCAGCGCAGUCACACAGCAAUGAUCCCAGUUGUUUUAUCAAUUGUCAAGCUUGUUAGCUUUUUAAGAGUUUUUGUUGGAAGAAUAGUCUGUUUGUUUUUGGGUUGGGAGUUGUUUGUUUUUUGUUUGUUUUUUUUACUUUUUUUAGUAUGCCAUUGUUGUGUAAGGCAUCAUAGCAAAAAUAUCAAAUUGCUGUAUUAAUUGUUAAUAAAUGAAUAAAUGUUUAAAGCAACACCUUCAUUUAUUACAUGGGUUUAAUGUGAGCAGGUCUUCCUGGAAUGAUUCAAACACACCUGGAAUACCCAGCUGCUGCCUGGAAAUGGAUUAAAUUCAUUCAUUCACAUUCAGGCCAUUUCCAGACAGGUGCUGAGUCCCAGUGUGCAGCUUCCAGUCCCAGAGAUCAUUGACGUGGAUCAGGAGGACCCAGCACCUCACAAGGGGCGUUUCCAUGGAGGUAGCCUGGGCUCAAGUCCUUUCCUAUCCACAGUAUUCCUGACUUCGUGCAAUUAGACCUGAUUCAAAGUAGAAGAUGACUUUUUUUGUUUUUCUGCUUACACUGUUGAUUCUUGUGGGGUCACACCUUCAGUGUUCAUAAAAGUUUCUCUCACUGCAGUUUCUUUUACUUGGCUUAAAUAGCAACACGUUGUAAUAAGUGGCAAGGACAAUUCAUUAGCAGUGCCUCACCCAUCACUUCCCACAGACUGAUGAUAUAAAACUAUGGCCCAAUGUUUGCUAGGACAACAUCUUCACAGAACAGUAAGCAGUCCAGCAGUCAAACCAAGGCUAUCCACAUCAAUGGGGAAAAAGAGCUCGAAGAAAGGGCCCAAGCUAAACAUGUAAUUGCCGACUAAUGUUUUUACACAGGGUUACAGGCUGGAGUAUGGCUGCUCCAAGUGGGAAACCCUGGAGAUUGUUUUAGAGAGACGGUGCAACAUUCCUGUACAUGUCUCAUUGGGGAGUUGACACAUGGUGAAAGCCAUGUGGCAAGAGGAGUGUUAUUUUUAAUCUGUAGAUGUCGUGAGGUGCCAUGACGAGAAGCAGUGACUGAGAGGAUCGUCCACAAGAUGGGAGCUGAGGCCAGGAGAGAGUCUUCAGGAGGAUCAGAGAUCACCUUCAGCACAGCAGACAUCGCGCAGGAGAUCAUCAUGAGGAGACUCUGCACAGCAAAAUCUUAAAUAAAAUGAAAGAGUGUCGACGUUGACGUUGAGGAAGACAACUAAGGUGUACGACGUGCUCUGCCUUAAAAUCUUCAGCAGCGUUGGAACGUGAGAGCCUGAAGGAUGAAGGGAGCAUGCCAAACUCCAAAAGUGACGACGUAGAGGAAGUCCAGCGAUGGACUUGUGAUUCUGUGUGAAGUACAAAUACUAGGAGACUGGGAAAUAGUUGACACCACUUUUCCCAAGGAUGAAGAUCACCUAAAGUGUGUCACUUUGCCAUGCAGAUUUGAUGCUCUGCAGAGAAGCCUUUUGUGAGGGAGAGAUGUAAACGGACGAGCCUUUCAUCUACAUUUAUAUCAUGUCAACUUCUCUAGGCUGGUUGAGGGGAAAUUGGAGAGAAACGGUAGUGUUAGGUGUGAUAACUGUUGCUAUUGUAACUGUGAUUUUUCUUCUAAGUGAAUUGCCCAGAGACAGACCCGAAUCCACUCUGGCGACUCCACCAUCACAGGCCACAGCGAAGCGAACCAAACGUAGGGAAACAGGUAGAUCAGAUGAGUGUUUUGAUUAUCAUGGCGGUAUAGAGUUGGACCACGUUAAAGGGUCCACAGCUUCGUAUACAUUUGAUCUUUGUGCUGUCAUUAAAUGUAAAGGUUUAAACAGUUCAUGGCGGGGAUAUGAUGUCUGGGUAGGUUACAAUCCAAUGGUAGAUAUAGAGUGUAAUAAUCAGAAGCUUGGCUACCCCUAUCACACUUAUUGGAAGGGCCCGUGUGAGUACUGGUCUACCAUAGUGGAGUAUUCUGGCACGUGGUGCCCCUACAAGGACACCACGCGGCAGAAGCUUGGGUUUCAGCGGGACUUCUCAGCUGGGCAGAACCCGUUGACCCUCUCACUGAAUCGUUGGCAUGACACUGUGUGGCCUGCUCGAUCCGUGGUGUACUUAUUCAUAGGGGUAGACGUCUCAGGGAAGGACCCAUACGGUCUGGUUAAAAUUAAUUUUAGAGAUUUUGCACCUGAUGUGGCUGAAAUAAUUGUAUUAACACCUCCCCCACCAUUGUCACUUUCAGAAUCGGGCCCACAAAUACUUGAGGUAGAUUAUACAAGACUCAAACCUAAACAGUUCAUUUCAAUGGCCACUGGCUACCGUGAAAGCAAUCUGUGGCCAGACUGGCUCAUUCAAAAUGCUAGAGAACAAAAUGUUUCAGAUUGUGUGGUGUGCGCAGCGGCCCGCCCACAUCUUUUCACAGAACCAGCUCCUCUAUAUCCCGAAGACCAGUGGGGAUUUGAGUGCAUCCUCAGACUCACCAGAGAAGCGGUUUCUGAAGACAUGAGCAUGAGGCCGGGGAGAUUAACGCCAAUUGGUGCACUGUGACGUACCUGGCCAGAGGAAAGCUAUCAAGAGACACCGGCACUGAAAUAGGCCUGUGGGCACGUGCUGGUUCGUACUGUUAUUGUGGUGGGUACAUAUUAUGUUAGAAUUCUUAGUGGGACUUCUGGUCUCUGUGCCAUGGUGUGUUUAGGUGCACCUCUCGUUUUAGUAGGAGAAAAGGGGGUGCAGCUGGCUAAGCCCGGCACCGCUCAACUGACAGCCACGCGCAGACGUCAUGUGUUGGCCAAACGGUCACCAGGAUCGUUUGACCUUACGAUAGGAUCACCAACAUACAUAGAUGCUAUUGGGGUUCCUAGGGGUGUGCCUAAAUGAAUUUAAGUUCGCUGACCAAAUUGAUGGAGGAUUUGAAAAGCUUCCCAUAAUUUCUGCAUUCUUUCCAGUAACUCCAAAUAAGAAUGUGGAUUGUAUCAAUUAUGUGCACUAUAAUGUCCUGAGACUGGCGAACUUUACCAGGGACGAAGUGAAGGGCCUGCUGAAUAGUUGGGUCCAACAUCUUUAAUGACAGUACAAAUCGGAUGGCGUUAGAUAUAUUGUCGGGAGAAAAAGGGGGCAUUUGCGCGAUGUUUGGGGAUAUAUAUUGUACUUUUAUUUUAAAUAACACAGCUCCAGGCAGCUCUGUGACCCGAACUCUGGAAGGCCUAAAGACGUUGUCCACCACGAUGUAUGAGCAUUCAGGAGUGGAUAACCUGCUGGAAGCGUGGAUGAUUUCUGUCUUUGGGCAAUGGAAAGGUUUCAUUAUGUCAAUUAUGGGUUUUUUUGUCUGUUUUUACUGCAAUAUUAGCAACGUGUGGGUUGGCAGUCCCAUUUAGUGAAAGGCAAUGGAAAAAUAGCUGGGUUUCCAUGUGUAAUUUGUGUGGAAGAAUAUUGCAGAAGAAAGUUAAUAGGUAAUUUAGAGAGCCCGCCCCGCCCCGGCCCGCCCCGCCCCCCAAAAAACAAGUGUUGAAGAACAAAAGAUAAAUGUCCUUUUUUUUCCUGCUUUCCGUGCCGGCCGUUUGGCGUAAGACAUGUGACGGAGCGCUCCGGAGCAGAGCGCCCCGAGUUCGACUCCCUCACGGACUUGCUGCCACGGCCCGGAGUUGGGGGACGGGGAGGCGCCAAGUUGCGUCUCCCUUUUCCUUUUCCCUGCUCUCGCCAACUCCUCCGCCUGCUCUACAUCUCUCUUAUUACCCUGUAUUCACCCAAAAUACCCAUGCUUG